AAUAAAUUCUAAGUUAAAAAUAAUAGUUAGAUAGAUGGUGACACAGAAUCGGAGGCCCCGACUGUUUACUAAAAACACAACACAGUGCAAUCAUUAAUGUGGUAGUAUACUGUGUGAAAUUUGCCCAAUGCCAUUAAUAUAAAAGCGGUCAUGGGAAACUGUGACUAAUUGAAAAUCUGGUUAAUAGCGGUCUUAAUCAUGAGGAUCCUAAGGUAGCAAAAUAAAUUGGCCAUUAAAUGUGGUCCGGUAUCAAUAAUGUAACGAUGGCCUCACUGUCUCUACAACUUGCUCAGUGAAAUUGAAUU
rnacentral:rRNA from 1 species